GAUGAGAUCGUGAUAUCGUAUAUGGGAAUUUUUUCUGUGUAAAUCAUCAAGUAUAAGAAGAAACUAUGGGACUCUGAGCCUUGCUUUAGAGAAUUUGCAGUGGAAAAAAUGGAAGAGCGUAGAGUAUGGAAAGAG